UUAUGAUGGCAGGAAAAGCCUCUAUACAGCAGGGCCUUUGCCUUUUGAAUCUAAAGAAUUUGUUAUUAAGCUGGUUGAGGAGAAUAAUGGCGCGGGGUCUUCUGCUUCAACAACGUAAUUAUGUUAUGAACCUUAAUCUCUAUUUGGUUUUGCGUAUUUCUUCUGUUGACAACAUUCUGCUAUUAGAUCUUUUAUUGUUGUUGAAACUUGGGCAUUUUUUGCUAUUCAUUCCUAUGCAGGAAGGAACGCCAAUUUAAAGUGGCAAUCAAAUUUGCAUCUAAGGUGGACAUUCAUCAUCUGCGACGAUUUUUAAGUUGUAGACAAAUGGAUGCUCCACAAGAAAUGAUGCAAGUUCUUAAUAUUGUUCUUAGGGCAUCAAUACCUGAAAAGUAUUCUAGCUUUGCUGUCUUAUGGAGUACUUUGAAUUGUUUUCUUUUCUCCCCUUACUUCUCUCUUCAUUUGACUGUCUGCGGUUAAUUUUUUCUUAUAAAUUCCAAUUUGAGCAGUUAUAGCUCUGUUGGGAGGACACUUUUCUCACCUAAUUUUGGGCCACGGGAUGGGCUUGGUGAUGGUAUAGAAUAUUG
rnacentral:misc_RNA from 1 species